rnacentral:rRNA from 1 species
AACGAACGCUGGCGGCAUGCCUAACACAUGCAAGUCGAACGAGACCUUCGGGUCUAGUGGCGCACGGGUGCGUAACGCGUGGGAACCUGCCCUUAGGUUCGGAAUAACACCCCGAAAGGGGUGCUAAUACCGGAUAAUGUCUUCGGACCAAAGAUUUAUCGCCUUUGGAUGGGCCCGCGUUGGAUUAGCUAGUUGGUAGGGUAAAAGCCUACCAAGGCGACGAUCCAUAGCUGGCCUGAGAGGAUGAUCAGCCACACUGGGACUGAGACACGGCCCAGACUCCUACGGGAGGCAGCAGUGGGGAAUAUUGGACAAUGGGCGAAAGCCUGAUCCAGCAAUGCCGCGUGAGUGAUGAAGGCCUUAGGGUUGUAAAGCUCUUUUACCCGGGAUGAUAAUGACAGUACCGGGAGAAUAAGCUCCGGCUAACUCCGUG